rnacentral:rRNA from 1 species
UACGUAGGGGGCAAGCGUUGUCCGGAGUUACUGGGCGUAAAGGGCAUGCAGGCGGUCGGACGCGUUUCGGGUGACAGCGGGUGGCUUAACUACCCGAGUGGUCGAAAGACGGUUUGACUUGAGGACGCGAGAGGGACACGGAAUUCCGGGUGGAGUGGUGAAAUGCGUAGAGAUCCGGAGGAACACCGAAGGCGAAGGCAGUGUCCUGGCGCGUAACUGACGCUGAGGUGCGAAAGCCAGGGGAGCGAACGGG